CGUUUGCUCCCCUGGCUUUCGCGCCUCAGCGUCAAUGCCGGUCCAGGAUGCCGCCUUCGCCACCGGUGUUCCUCCAGAUAUCUACGCAUUUCACCGCUACACCUGGAAUUCCGCAUCCCUCUCCCGGAUUCAAGCCUUCCAGUAUCGGACGCAGUUCCCGGGUUGAGCCCGGGGAUUUCACGUUCGACUAAGAAGGCCACCUACGCGCCCUUUACGCCCAGUAAUUCCGAACAACGCUUGCCCCCUCUGUAUUACCGCGGCUGCUGGCACAGAGUUAGCCGGGGCUUCCUCACCCGGUACCGUCACUCUUCGACGUGUUAGGUCGAAGACAUUCGUCCCGGGCAACAGGAGUUUACAAUCCGAAGACCUUCAUCCUCCACGCGGCGUUGCGUCAUCAGGCUUGCGCCCAUUGUGAACAAUUCCCCACUGCUGCCUCCCGUAGGCGUCUGGGCCGUGUCUCAGUCCCAGUGUGGCCGUCCGCCCUCUCAGGCCGGCUACCGAUCGUCGCCUUGGUGAGCCAUUACCUCACCAACUAGCUAAUCGGACGCGGGCCCCUCUCCAAACGCCAGGUCUAACGAUCCCCAGCUUUGAUUUCCAUGUCUUCAAACACAGAAUGUUAUGCGGUAUUAGCGUC
rnacentral:rRNA from 1 species